rnacentral:rRNA from 1 species
AACGAACGCUGGCGGCAGGCUUAACACAUGCAAGUCGAGCGCCCCGCAAGGGGAGCGGCAGACGGGUGAGUAACGCGUGGGAAUCUACCCAUCUCUACGGAAUAACGCAUGGAAACGUGUGCUAAUACCGUAUACGUCCUUCGGGAGAAAGAUUUAUCGGAGAUGGAUGAGCCCGCGUUGGAUUAGCUAGUUGGUGGGGUAAAGGCCUACCAAGGCGACGAUACAUAGCUGGUCGGAGAGGAUGAUCAGCCACACUGGGACUGAGACACGGCCCAGACGCCUACGGGUGGCAGCAGUGGGGAAUAUUGGACAAUGGGCGCAAGCCUGAUCCAGCCAUACCGCGUGAGUGAUGAAGGCCCUAGGGUUGUAAAGCUCUUUCACCGGUGAAGAUAAUGGCGGUAACCGGAGAAGAAGCCCCGGCUAACUUCGUGCCAGCAGCCGCCUUAACAC